GGGCUUGUAGCUCAGUUGGUUAGAGCAGAGCGCUCAUAACGCUUUGGUCGUAGGUUCGAGUCCUACCGGGCCUACCA
rnacentral:tRNA from 1 species